CCUACGGGAGGCAGCAGUGGGGAAUAUUGCGCAAUGGGCGAAAGCCUGAUGCAGCGACGCCGCGUGAGGGAUGAAGGUCUUCGGAUCGUAAACCUCUGUCAGCAGGGAAGAAGGCUCUCUGUGCUAUGCACUUGUGAAUUGACGGUACCUGCAAAGGAAGCACCGGCUAACUCCGUGCCAGCAGCCGCGGUAAUACGGCGGGUGCGAGCGUUAAUAGGAUUUACUGGGCGUAAAGCGCUCGUAGGCGGUAUGUCAACUCUAGGGUGAAAUCCCCGGGCUCAACGUGGGAACUGCCUUUGAAACUGGCAGGCUGGAGUGUGUGAGAGGAUGGUGGAAGUCCAGGUGUAGCGGUGAAAUCCGUAGAGAUCUGGAGGAACAUCAGUGGCGAAGGCGACUAACUGGAACAAAACUGACGCUGAGGAGCGAAAGCGUGGGUAGCAAACAGGAUUAGAUACCCGUGUAGUC
rnacentral:rRNA from 1 species